rnacentral:rRNA from 1 species
GACGAACGCUCGGCGGGCGGCGCCUAACACAUGCAAGUCGAACGAGCGAGGAGAGGAGACGUUGCUUUCUCGAGCGAGUGGCGAACGGGUGAGUAACGCGUGAGGAACCUGCCUCAAAGAGGGGGACAACAGUUGGAAACGACUGCUAAUACCGCAUAAGCCCACAGCUCGGCAUCGAGCAGAGGGAAAAGGAGUGAUCCGCUUUGAGAUGGCCUCGCGUCCGAUUAGCUGGUUGGUGAGGUAACGGCCCACCAAGGCAACGAUCGGUAGCCGGACUGAGAGGUUGAACGGCCACAUUGGGACUGAGACACGGCCCAG